AUGACAAAUAUACUGACGGUUUUUGCAUAUGAUGUUGGAAGGAGAUUGACUCAUCUCGAUCUGGACAUUGAGAUUAAGGAUGUAACGAGACUCCUAAAUAGUGGAAUAGACAUUUCCCUCAGUGAUGAAGUUAGAAUGCCUGAAUAUGCACACAGUGGAAAGUUCUACGAAACGUUGGGAUUCAGUAAGCUGCUCAGCUAUGCCGACGGAUGGGAUUGGAUUAUGAUGGUAUUGGGGACUUUGGGUUCUGUUGUCCAUGGUAUGGCUUUUCCAGUUGGAUAUCUACUGCUUGGCAGAGCACUCAAUGCCUUUGGGAGCAAUAUUAACGACACAGCUGCCAUAGUUAAAGCACUGAACAAGGUUAUUCCCUUUGUGUGGUACAUGGCCUUCGCCACAUUUCCGGCUGGAAUACUUGAAGUUGGAUGCUGGAUGUAUUCAAGUGAAAGACAAGUGGCACGUCUAAGACUGGCAUAUCUAAGAGCAGUGCUCAGCCAGGAGGUUGGGGCUUUCGAUACAGACUUAACCAGUGGAAAAGUGAUCACCGGAAUUAGUAACCACACGAGUAUCAUACACGAUGCAAUCGGAGAGAAGUUGGGUCAUUUUCUUUCAAGUUUGGCAACUUUCUUUUCGGGAAUUUUGAUUGCUGCAAUAUGCUGUUGGGAAGUUGCACUGCUUACCUUGUUGGUUGUUCCUUUGAUUCUUGUAAUCGGAGCCACUUACACUAAGAAAAUGAACGCCAUUUCGGCUGCUAGGAUGGUUUACCUGUCGGAAACUACCUCUAUGGUAGAACAGACCAUAUGUCAGAUCAAGACAGUAUACGCAUUCGUUGGAGAAAACUCGGCGAUCAAAUCUUUCUCAAACUGCAUGGCCAAACAGUAUUUGCUAAGCAAAGGAGAGGCUCUAAUCAAGGGAGUUGGAACAGGAAUGCUUCAAACUGUGACCUUCAUUUCUUGGGCUAUCAUCAUUUGGGUUGGUGCUGUUGUAGUCACUGCCAAGAGGGCAAGCGGUGGGGAUAUUAUAGCUGCUGUCAUGAGCAUUCUCUUUGAAGCCAUUUCACUCACUUAUGCUGCGCCGGACAUGCAAGUCUUCAAUCAGGCAAAGGCUGCAGGAACUGAAGUUUUCAAGGUGAUCAAUAGAAAGCCAGCUAUAAGUUAUGAUUCACCCGGGAAGGAACUUGAUAAGAUUUACGGCAACAUUGACAUACGCGAUGUUUACUUUUCCUACCCUUCCCGGCCUGACAGAGCCAUCCUUCAAGGCUUUUCAUUAUCAAUUCCAGCAGGAAAAACGGUAGUCUUUGUAGGUAGCAGUGGCUGUGGAAAGAGUACUAUCAUCUCACUAGUUGCAAGAUUCUAUGAUCCUGCAAAAGGGGAGAUUCUGAUUGACAACCACAACAUCAAGGAUCUUGACUUGAAAUUCCUGAGGAAAAACAUAGGAGCUGUUUCGCAAGAACCAUCACUGUUUGCAGGCACCAUUGCAGACAAUAUGAAAGUUGGUAAGAUGGAUGCGGAAGAUGUAGAGAUCCAGAAAAUGCACACACUUUCAUAUCCCAACUUCCAAAUCAGUACUCCACAGAGGUAGGACAAAGGGGAGUACAGUUAUCUGGAGGACAGAAGCAGAGAAUCGCCAUAGCAAGAGCCAUUCUCAAGAAUCCUCCUAUUCUUCUGCUUGAAAAAGGCAACAAGUGCUCUUGACUCGGAAUCUGAGAAGAUGGUUCAAGAAGCUCUUGACAAGGCUAUGCAGGGAAGGACAGUUAUCUUGAUUGCACAUAGACUAUCAACUAUAGUUAAUGCAGAUAUGAUUGCGGUUGUAGAGAAUGGACAAGUUACAGAAUCAGGAACUCACCGGAGCUUACUUGAAAGCAGUAAAUUUUACAACAACUUAUUUAGCAUGCAAAAUCUCAACCCAGUUCAUAAUAACAGAGAAGAUGGUCCCUCUGAAAAAUCUGAAAGCAUCCACCAAAAGUGUUCACCUGAACAGAUAAGACAAGCCAAAGAGCCCCACAGCGACCGAUAUCCUAAUGAGCCUCCCAAGCAAGAAGAAGAGGCAAUAAGAAAAAGAGCCAUAUUCUUCAGAAUCUGGUUUGGCUUGAAAAAGAGAGAACUUGUAAAGAUUUGACUCUUGGUUCUUUUGCAGCAGCUUUCUCUGGUAUAUCAAAGCCUGUCUUUGGGUAUUACAUCAUAACAAUAGGAGUAGCAUACUACCACAAGCAUGCUGAGAGAGAAGUCUCAAAAUAUUCAAUCACAUUUGCUCUAAUUGGAUUCAUUUCAUUGUUCUCUCACACCUUGCAACACUACUUGUUCGGAAUGGUUGGAGAGAAGGCCAUGACAAACCUGAGACGCGCUCUCUAUUCAGGUGUGCUACGCAAUGAAAUCGGAUGGUAUGAGAAACCUGAGAAUGGCAUUGGACAGCUCACCUCAAGGAUCAUCAAUGAUACUUCAAUGGUCAAAGUGGUAAUUGCUGACCGGAUGUCUGUCAUUGUCCAGUGCAUUUCCUCCAUACUGAUUGCAACCGUUGUGAGCAUGUAUGUCAACUGGAGAAUGGGGUUGGUAGCUUGGGCUGUGAUGCCUUGCCACUUCAUUGGUGGUCUCAUUCAAGCCAAGUCUGCAAAGGGUUUUGCAGGAGACUCAGCUGCUGCACAUAAUGAACUUGUUUCUGUUGCUUCUGAGUCUGCACAAAACAUAAGAACCGUUGCAUCGUUUUGCCAUGAAGAUCAUAUACUCAAAAAAGCCGAAAUAUCUCUGGAAACCCCCAAGAAAAGGAGCAUGAGACAAAGUAUUAAGUUUGGCAUAAUUCAGGGAGUUUCUCUUUGCUUAUGGAACAUUGCACAUGCUGUGGCGUUGUGGUACACAACAGUUUUAGUUCACAAGAAUCAAUCGAGCUUCAAAAAUGGCAUAAGAUCAUACCAGAUUUUCUCUCUCACAGUACCUUCAAUCACAGAAUUGUGGACAUUGAUUCCGACUGUCAUUUCUGCCAUCAACGUGCUUACCUGCAUUCGAGACCCCUUGACCGCAAAACUGAGAUAGAUCCAUCUACACCAGAAACUUCAAAUCAGGAGAGAAUCAAAGGGAACAUUGAAUUUCAAAAUGUUGAGUUUAAUUACCCUUUGAGACCAGAAGUAACUAUCCUGAACAACUUCAGUGUACAAAUUAAAGCUGGAACAAAGGUGGCUCUUGUCAGUCGAAGCGGAGCUGGUAAAUCUUCAGUUCUCGCCCUUCUGCUAAGAUUUUAUGAUCCCUUGAAAGGAAAGAUACUCAUUGAUGGAAAGGAGAUAAGGGAAUACAACUUGAGAUGGCUGAGAACACAAAUAGGGUUUGUGCAACAAGAGCCUCUACUUUUCAGCUCCUCAAUCAGAGACAAUAUCUGCUAUGGAAACGAAAGUGCUUCUGAAACUGAGAUUGUGGAGGUAUCAAGGGAAGCAAACAUUGAUGAGUUCAUAAGUAACUUGCCUGAUGGAUAUCGAACAGUUGUUGGGGACAAGGGAUGCCAACUUUCAGGAGGACAAAAGCAAGGAAUAGCCAUAGCUAGAACACUGCUAAAGAGGCCAGCAAUCUUGCUUCUGGAUGAAGCAACAAGUGCCCUUGAUGCUGAAUCUGAGAAAUCUGUGGUGAGUGCAUUGGAAGCAAUAAAUUUAAAAAAGAAUGGGGGCCUGCUGUCAAGAACGACGCAGUUCACUGUUGCACAUAGGCUCUCCACAGUCAUAAACUCGGAUAAAAUUGUUGUCAUGGAUAAAGGUGAGAUUGUGGAGAUAGGUUCCCACUCAACCCUAAUAACAGCAUCUGAGGGAGCAUCUGAGGGAGUUUAUUCAAGAUUAUAUCAUAUACAGAGCAUGACAGAAGAGUAA